rnacentral:rRNA from 1 species
GACGAACGCUGGCGGCGUGCUUAACACAUGCAAGUCGAACGGAAAGGCCCUGCUUUUGUGGGGUGCUCGAUUGGCGAACGGGUGAGUAACACGUGAGUAUCCUGCCCUUGACUUUCGGAUAACUUCAGGAAACUGCGGCUAAUACCGGAUAGGAUCUCCUGCUCCAUGGUGGGGGUUGGAAAGUUUCGGCGGUUGGGGAUGGACUCGCGGCUUAUCAGCUUGUUGGUGGGGUAGGGGCUUACCAAGGCUUUGACGGGUAGCCGGCCUGAGAGGGUGACCGGCCACAUUGGGACUGAGAUACGGACCAGACUGCUACGGGAGGCAGCAGUGGGAAGUAUUGCACAAUGGGCGGACGCCUGAUGCAGCAAUGCCGCGUGCGUGAUGACGGCCUUCGGGUUGUAAACCGCUUUCGCCUGUGACGAAGCGUGAGUGACGGUAAUGGGUAAAGAAGCACCGGCUAACUACGUG